UACGUAGGGUGCGAGCGUUAAUCGGAAUUAUUGGGCGUAAAGGGCGCGUAGGCGGCUUGGCAAGUGGAUGGUGAAAUCCCUCGGCUUAACCGAGGAACUGCCGUCCAAACUGCUUAGCUUGAGACCGGGAGAGGUGAGUGGAAUUCCCAGUGUAGCGGUGAAAUGCGUAGAUAUUGGGAGGAACACCAGUGGCGAAGGCGGCUCACUGGACCGGUACUGACGCUGAGGCGCGAAAGCGUGGGGAGCAAACGGG
rnacentral:rRNA from 1 species